UUAUUAUUAUUAUUAUUAUUAUUAUUCAUAACAAGAAAUAUAACAGAAUAAGGUGGACAAGAAAAUAUAGCAAGAUAAGGUGAUGUCACUGACAGUCCCAGGUAUGUAUGAGUAUCAAUUGGAGUCACACUUUGAGCACUACUGCCGAAUGAAUGGAGGGCAAAGAUUAGCAUUUGUACCUGUAGUAGCAGGUGGAGAGAGAGCCUGUCAUAUUCACUACACUACAAAUGAACUCAAAUUAAAUGAAGGAGAGUUA